CUGUCCAAUGGCCCGUUACCGCCUUCUGCUGGCGUUGUGGGUAGACUAAGUCAGUGUUUUUCAACCGGGGUGCCGCGCAAAUUAUUGUCAGGGGCGCCGUGGGAAAUUCUCCAAUUUGUGCGCCUGUGCGGUGUAGCGCCCGGCAGAGUAAUCAUAUCUUCUAUAUCAGAUGGUGGCAGCAGCAGUUAGCGAUUUGCCUCGUGCUUGCAGACGAGAAAAUUGGUGACGCAUGGAUCCAGUGGCAGAUGUAUGGGAUGGCCAUGCAGUUCUACGCAUGCUUACUGCAUAAAGUCAACAAGGAUCUUGGUUUUGAGCACAUCAGCGCCGGAAAGAGGGGAGAUGAGUGUACUACGUUUCAGGUGGACGAGAUGUCAUUUACCAACUUCUGAGAGGUCAACAAACGCGUGACUUGAGCGGGAUUGUUCGGAGAAGCAACUGCUACUUGGAAAACCAAGUUUUUGUCAAUUCUGGUGCUUUGAAUUCACUAAAGUCAAUGAAGGCAAAAACAUUUUUUUUAUUCAUGGCAACUUUUGAUACAUGGCAUCAACCUUUCAUUUUAGAUUAAUCUAAAAUGUCACAAACGUGUGCACUUAUCAAAGACAUUAUUUACAAGUUAAACAAAAGGGUGUGUAUGUAUAAAAAAAAACUGAGUCUCAGACACUGGGCAAUAGUCACAAUCAUCACUAAGAAGCUUCCUCUCUGACUUUCUUCUUUUUCUUUUUCUUGCCACUUUCAAGCUGCAAACACAGAAAAAAAGUUUGUUAAACCUUAAGACAAACAAUCAUUAUUUGAUGCAAAGAAUAGAUAGAAAUGAGCCACACCACACCAAAAUUCACACGCUGUUCCAACAACACAAACCUAGUCGUGAACUAACCUCAAUUUUGGGCUCAAUGUCCGCCGUUUCGUUCUGCGCUUCAGUGGCCUCCAUUGUGGCGCGCUUCUCUCUUUUCUUCUUCUUCUUCUCUUUGGGCGUCUCCUCACUGACUGGCGCGGGUUCCGCUUCGCUGUCAGUUCCCUCCCUCUUCCUCUGUGCAGAGGAAAAAAAGGUGAGCGAGGAGAGCGCCUCCAGCAGGUCGGGAAGCUGAUGGCCAACCUGAGGACUUUACCUUGCUUGACACGUCCGACUCCUUGGCAGUGACGCUACAGUAGGGUAAAAACAGACAAAGGUUAAAGAUGCGGAACAUCUCUGGUCAAAAUAUUUUCUUCAAAAUAUAACAAGAUGCGAAAGUCUGCUUUUAAAAAAAACAAAAAAAGUGAUUAACUUAAUUGCCACUGCAUUUUCAAUUUCACAAUGACUAGGAACUAGGGAUGUAACGAUUAAUCGAUAUAAUCUCUACGAUUUAUUGGUAUCGAUGCUAAAGGUAAACAUCGAUUUAUAUCGCCGUGUUUGACCUCGGACAUUAGACGCGACUUUAUUUUGAAAUCCAGUUCAUUGUUGCUUGCUUCCUCUUUCCGGCGUUGUUGUGUUGUGAGCAGAGCACGCGCGUGAAAGGGGAGGGGACAACUAGUCCGCGGCUCCUGGGCUGGUGCUAUG